GACGAACGCUGGCGGCGUGCUUAACACAUGCAAGUCGAACGGUGAAGCUCCAGCUUGCUGGAGUGGAUCAGUGGCGAACGGGUGAGUAACACGUGAGCAACCUGCCCCUGACUCUGGAAUAAGCGCUGAAACGGCGUCUAAUACUGGAUACGAGAAGGGUCCGCAUGGGCACUUUCUGGAAAGUUUUUCGGUUGGGGAUGGGCUCGCGGCCUAUCAGCUUGUUGGUGAGGUAAUGGCUCACCAAGGCGACGACGGGUAGCCGGCCUGAGAGGGCGACCGGCCACACUGGGACUGAGACACGGCCCAGACUCCUACGGGAGGCAGCAGUGGGGAAUAUUGCACAAUGGGCGAAAGCCUGAUGCAGCGACGCCGCGUGAGGGAUGACGGCCUUCGGGUUGUAAACCUCUUUCAGCAGGGAAGAAGCGAAAGUGACGGUACCUGCAGAAGAAGCACCGGCUAACUACGUG
rnacentral:rRNA from 1 species